rnacentral:rRNA from 1 species
AUUGAACGCUGGCGGCAGGCCUAACACAUGCAAGUCGAACGGUCACAGGAAGCAGCUUGCUGCUUUGCUGACGCGUGGCGGACGGGUGUGAAAUGUCUGGGACACUGCCUGAUGGCGGGGGUUAACUACUGGAAACGGUAGUAAUUACCGCAUAACGUCGCAAGCCCAAAGAGGAGGACCUUCGGGCCUCUUGCCUUCGGCUGUGCCCUGAUGGGAUUAGCUAGUAGGUGGGGUAACGGCUCACCUAGGCAACGAUCCCUAGCUGGUCUGAGAGGAUGACCAGCCACACUGGAACUGAGACACGGUCCAGACUCCUACGGGAGGCAGCAGUGGGGAAUAUUGCACGAUGGGCGCAAGCCUGAUGCAGCCAUGCCGCGUGUAUGAAGAAGGCCUUCGGAUUGUAAAGUACUGUCAGCGGGGAGGAAGGAAGGAGAGUGAAUACCUGCGCGCAUUGACGUUACCCGCAGAAAAAGCACCGGCUAACUCCGUG